rnacentral:misc_RNA from 1 species
UCUCCGUUGGUGAACCAGCGGAGGGAUCCUUACCGAGUUUUUCUAUUCCCAAACCCCUGUCAACUUAUACCUUUACCCUUGCUUCGGCGGGUUAACGCCCCGGACGGGCCAAAAGGCCGCCGGAACCAGGCGCCCGCCGGGGGACCCAAACUCUUGUAUUUCUUACUUUGCAUGUCUGAGUGGAAUCAUAAACAAAUGAAUCAAAACUUUCAACAACGGAUCUCUUGGUUCUG